UACGUAGGGUGCGAGCGUUUGUCCGGAAUUACUGGGCGUAAAGAGCUCGUAGGUGGUUUGUCGCGUUGUCCGUGAAAACUCACAACUCAAUUGUGGGCGUGCGGGCGAUACGGGCAGACUGGAGUACUGUAGGGGAGACUGGAAUUCCUGGUGUAGCGGUGGAAUGCGCAGAUAUUAGGAGGAACACCGGUGGCGAAGGCGCUGCUCUGGGCCGAAACUGACGCUGAGGCGCGAAAGCUAGGGGAGCGAACAGG
rnacentral:rRNA from 1 species